GUUCACCCUCUUCCUCUCCUCUUUUCUUUUCAAUUUUCUUUCUUUCUUCCCUUAUGUGUUGCAGCCCAAGCCACCAAGAUUCACCAUCAAUCUCUCUUCUUUUUGCAAUGGGUUCUUGCAUCAUUAUUUUCCUCUUCUUGUUGUCAUUUUAUCUUAAAAUUUCCAGCCUUAAAUAUGAAAUUUUAACACUCAAUAUUAGCUUCCAUUGAUGCCCCAAAAGAACUCCAUUGCAGCCACAAAAGAACUCCAUUGCAGCCUUUCACUUAACUUGUGUAAGUUAUUAUUUUCUUUCAAUUUCUUAAUGAAUCUUGUAAGUUAAAAACCCAAAAUUCUAGAUCUAAAAUUUUAGGGAUUUUUAAAUAUUUAAUGGUAUUUUUCUAGCUUUUUAAUCAAUUCCAAAAGUGGUUUUAAAUUAGCCCUAAAAUUGGCCACUCCAGGAGGUGGUGCGAGUGCCUAUGGACAAGAAAGGGGGCUAUUUUUCUUUAAUUAUUUCCCAUAUUUUUUUAACAUGAUUUUGGGUUCUUGAAACCCUCCUAAUCAGCCUUUAAUCACAUGAUAAUUAUGGAAAUUUUUUCUUGAUCAAUCAACAAUUUAGAUCUAACAAUUUGGGAAGCAUAAGUGCAGGUAAUCGUAAACUAGUUACUUGUUUCGACAUAGAUUUUGGGAAAAUGUUAUGGAUUGAUUAAAUGAAGGACUUUAAUAAAUAUUAUCUAUUAUUUAAAUGUGUUAGGUGUUGACCCGAACACUCCAAAUCAAUAGUAAAGCUGAAAGAUGUUCGCACAUAUGAUUCGCAUGAAAACAGUGUAAGAAAUCUAACUAGUUUGGAUUCAAAAAAUAGUUGUAAUUGUGAUGAUUGAAUCGAACCCAUAAGUGGGUGUUUAUGGGCUGUUUAAGAGGAGUAAUAAUGUAUUGUAAUACUGAUUUUUAAUUUAGGUUAAUUUUAAAUCUUAUUAGAGAAACAAUAAGAUUUAGAAAGUGUGCUGCAAAAGAGAGUAAAAUAAGAUGUGAGAUCUAAACUCAAUAACUUAUUUGAUAAUAAUAAAUAUUAUAAUUAAAUUUAUGAUUUAUCUUGCUGAUUGGGCUUGGCUUAAUAUAUAAAUAAUUUAUUUUUUAAGUGGCCGAAUCAGGUACUUUUUGAGCCCUAACUAUUUGGCAUGGAAGCAUUGUUGCUAGUUUGAUUGAAUGUUCAAAUGAUUGACAUUAUCAUGAUUGGUUGGUUAAUUUGAUAUAUGUUUGGGUUGUAUGUAUAACAUGAUUAUGAAUGAAAAAAUGUUUAUGCAUGAUAUAUCAUAUAAGUGAUUUGUUAUGAUAUGUUCAAAAGACUACUAUGCAUGUACACAAAGAAAAGUUGUAAACAAACAUGAAAUUGUGAUUUGUUAAAUGGUACCAUUUUAUUAGUAAAUUGAAAGUUGGAAUAUUAUUUCCAUUUAUUGAAAGUAUUUGAUAAACGCGUGCAUAUGUUGAAAAUGCUAAUUAAAUGUAAAAGUACUAAUUUAUGGAUAUGUAUGAGAUUGUAUGACAUAUUGCAUGUGCAUUGGGGUCGGUUAUUUUGUAGUUGACAAAGGAGUUCCGUGGAGUACUGACGUCAUAUUAAGUCCACAUUAUACGUAGUCAGUGCACUGCACUUGGAGUACCGAGGGGAACGACGAUUUAUCGCAUUUUUACUCGCAUAAUUUUCUGCAUAUUGUUAUUGGUGGUUUUAACCAGAACAGGAUUAAGCUCAUACAAUUUUGGAGUUCGGAUGACAGAUUCUGAGGAACUUAUGGUAUGUAGUAGAUGGCUUGGGUAGGAACCUUUUUGCAUUGCAUCAUGCUUACGACAUACUCAAAUUUUAUUGAUUUAUGCUACAUAUUAUAUUGUGUUGUAUUGAAUGGUACAAAAAUUAAUGAUUGUUACUCGAAUGAAUGAUGACUCAUGCUCAUACACUGUUUGACAUCGAUUUGAUAAUGGCUAUGUAAUGAUAUGAAAUUCCAAUGAUGGUUCUGUGUUCUUCUAUUAAUGCUAAUAUGUUUCACUGCAUUUGAUAUUUAUAUUCGUUUAAAUAACUAUUCGACUCACACCAAGUUUUCAUAGUCUCACCUUUAUAGUGUUUAACUUUUUAGGUAAACCUCAAAACUAGGACUGGACUCGACAUUCGGAGACUCACCUUGGACCUCAGACUAUUUUUAAUAAGUAUUAUUAAUAAGUCUCUAUUGGUUUUGGUUUGUAUUUUUAAUUAUUUUUGGCCUUUGGCUUGGUAACCUUUCAUUUGAGGAUUUUUGCAUGCAUGUAUUACUUAAGCAUAAUAACCAGAAAACGCAUGAUAUCUGGCUUAAGUAAAAUUUGACAUUGAUCCCUAUUUUCC
rnacentral:lncRNA from 1 species